UACGGAGGGGGCCAGCGUUGUUCGGAAUUAUUGGGCGUAAAGGGCGCGUAGGCGGUCGAGUAAGUCUGACGUGAAAUCCCUUGGCUCAACCUUUGAAAGCCGGUGGAUACUGCAGGGCUAGAGUCCGGAAGAGGCGAGUGGAAUUCCUGGUGUAGCGGUGGAAUGCGCAGAUAUCAGGAGGAACACCAAUAGCGAAGGCAGCUCGCUGGGACGGUACUGACGCUAAGGCGCGAAAGCGUGGGGAGCAAACAGG
rnacentral:rRNA from 1 species